rnacentral:lncRNA from 1 species
CUGAUAAUUUCGAUCUCAUUUGACAUAUGACCUUCAAUUUAAGUCAACCAGAUACUCUCAAUGCUUCUCUCAUCUCUAAUUAUCUCCAUGUCCUAAAUCUAUAUUUUUCUCGGAAGCCUUUCCUGUGCUUAUCAAGGAGUAUUCUCAUCUUUGUCUACUCCCAACGAGCUUAGUGGAGUUCAUUGUGUUUGCUGAAUGUGAUCCGCAUAUGC